rnacentral:lncRNA from 1 species
AUAUGGAAGGGGUGGAUUACAAGGAUAUAAAAGAUUAGUCGGAAUGUUAUUAAUCUACUCCUGGGUGAAUUAUUUCAUGCAGCACAGCUAUCAAUAAAUCCAGAAGUCUUCAGAUAAGCUUUAAAUGGGCUCUACUGCACAAAGGAGUGGGGUAAGCACACACAGAAGUCAGUUGCCUUAAUGCUAUCAUAUUUAAACAGGCUUCAGUGCUCAACAUGCCAACAUGCUUGGAAAUUCUUCAAUACCAUGACCUCUAAAAGCCCAGCUAAUUUAGUGAAAAGAGAAACAAGGGU